CGAUAUCCAGUGGGCCCCACAGUUUCUCGAUUGUCUGAAAGACUGAAGCGUGUAGAUGCAAAUCUCCUGUGUCCCGAAGGUAUCUCGAAUUCCAGUCUGCCCAUGAAUUGUGCAAUCCUGGAAUAUGUUACGCUAUGAUCACUGAUAGUUUGUUGAGAAGGCAAAACUGCCAGAAGUUUUUUGCCAGGUUUGCCAAUAGUUUCAACUUUGUACCCCAUAGGCGAUUGAUAUAGUUCACAGCCGACACGUU